rnacentral:sRNA from 1 species
GCUGGGUGCAGUGGUGCACACUUGUAAUCCCAGCAGCUUGGGAGGCUGAGACAGGAGGAUCGCAAGUUCAAAGCCAGCCUCAGCAAAGGCGAGGUGCUAAGCAACUCAGUGAGACCCUGUCUCUA